AUUUCUUGGGCCUGAAUCAGAAGCCUCUAAAACUUUCUUAACCUAAAAUGAGGAAAUAGAUUCCUGACUCGGAGCGCCGCCGCACCGCCAACUGACUCGUCUCCUCCCCGAGCACCACGCUGUCGCCUCCUCUGACUCGUCUCCUCCCCGAGAUCUGCUGAGAAAAUUAAAGAAGCUAAUGGGUACAGACACAAGACAGUCUUAUAUUGGGACUCGAUCAACUUGGUGUUUGUGAAAGAUCAUGCAACCGGUGAAGCGGUAAAGACCCUAGCUGAUGGUGCGAGAGAUAUGAGUAAGGAAGAGGGAGCCGGUAAAAAGCUUACUUCAUCAACAACCUCAGGAAGAGAUGGUUGUUGAAGCAACUUAAAAAGUGAACCGAGUUGUGGUUGGGUGAAUUGAACUGUUGUUGGGUGUGUUGAUGUUGCUGUCUUAGUUUAUGUUGGGUGAAUUGAACAUCACAUUGAGUAGCAAGUAAUGUGUUCCAAUAAUAUGUAGACAUUUGAGACAAAUCUGCAUUAUUAUUACUAUUCUCGUGAUGCAUGCUGCUUGAUAAA